rnacentral:miRNA from 1 species
GCAGACACAUUCCAGCCAAUCAGCAGCAGACCCUCCCUCCUGGACCCUCCCACCUCCUGGACAGCAUCCAUUUUACAUUCAUUGUGAAGCUGCAUUCUUAGUGAGCUGUCCAGGAGGUGGGAGGGUCUGGGAGGGAGGGUCUGCUGCUGAUUGGCUGGAAUGGGUCUG